ACCAACCAAGUAAACUUCCAGCCAGCACUGUAGGCGGAGGAAUGCACAUUUAAUAGUUCAACGCCAUUACAACAUAGAAAAACAAAUCAUCUGAGUGCAGUGUUAUCUCCUGAAGAGGAAGAGAAUCGUUUCCUUGAGAGUUUUGUAACGCAUACAAAGUAGCCUAUCAAGCGCCUUUGGAGGGAAGGCGGUAUCACAUCACCAAGGAGCAGUUUGAGUUCCUCAUAGAUUGUCAGAUGACCAUCAGACAAAUGGCAGAUGUUCUCAAUGUGUCGCACUCUGUGGUCAAGCGGCAUGAGGUGGAGGAUUGUUAUCCAUGUUGCUGUGAAUGGUUACAGCAGACUUGUUGUGUUUCUGAAGGCCUCUGACAACAACAGGAGUGCCACAGUCAUGGAGUCAUGCGAAGCAGCCAUCACCAGCUACGGAGUACCAUCCCGGGUGAGAUGUGACCGUGUGGUGAAAACAACCGUAUCUCUGCCUUCAUGGAGCAGUUCAGGGGUGGUGAGAGGGGAAGUGCCCUCAGAGGAACGAGCACUCACAACCAGAGGAUAGAGCGGCUGUGGGGGGACGUCUGGCAUGGAGUCUCCAACGUUUACCAUGACCUGUUCACCUUCUUGGAGACGGAGCAGAUCAUCGACAUCAACAAUGAGGUGCACCUGUGGGGACUGCACUUUGUGUUCCUGCCACGGGUGAACAGAGAUCUUGCUGUGUUUGCCAGUCAGUGGAACCACCAUGGGCUGAGGACUGAACAACGGCAGUCACCUCUGCAGUUGUUCAUCUCGGGUUCCCUGGCAAUGCAGAGGACCAAUCUGACAGCAGUAAGGGAUUUGUUCGCCCCAAAUUCAACCACCAUCAGCUCUCAAGCCACCACCUCAGCUCCCCCAACAACUGGCGCCGCAGCUCUUUAUUGGUCGGAAUGGGUGAUUGUGCCACAAAUCCAGUUCACCGUCAGCAACACACAGAUGGAACUGUUGCGGACAAUAAUUCCAUUGAAGGCCCCAGAGGCAGCCUGGGAGUUGACAAUCUACAGAGGGUUAUGGCAGUUAUAUCUUCAGUGCCACUCGUUCCUACUCCAACCUGACUUACUACAUACACCCCUGAUACUCCCCUACUGGGAUGAGGGAUUGGACGCUAUAUCUGCAGCGCCACUCGUUCCUUUGAAUCAGUUCAUUUUUAUAAUACUAUUAUACAUUUUAUAAUACUAACAUUCCCCCUCUUUCACACACUGUAUGAUUUGGUCUCUAGAAAGGUACGAUAGACAUCUUCAACUCUAAAUGGAUAGGGACCAGAGUUUAGACACAGGUGGCCUGAACAAAAGUAAAGUACUUCCCCAUUCCAGUAUGAUUCUGUUUGGUCAUAUUUGGAGAGAGUCAGGUACUGUUAAGAUAUACGGCCUGUAGUUACUGUAUUUUGCUCUAUGGCGCUUUAGCACAGCAUUCCAUCUGCUGACACAAUAUUUGUCUUCCUCUCAGUACAACACGACCCAGGAGAGGCCUACUGCAAGCACUGGAUUGGAGCCUUCAGAGCGUGCCUGCUGUGGGAGGACAACAGAACAUUCUGAAUGGACAUUAUUGAAACAGAACUUACAUUUUUGUAAUGCCCAAUCGGGACUUUUAUAAAUUGUUAAAAUAAAUAAUUGUGUGGAGAACGCCCUAUAGUUUAAAAAAAACAAAAAACUAUGAAGAUAGUGGUUCGCCCCCAUUACAUUUUAUAUAAUUGUGAUUAACCUCAACCUAUUACAGUUAGUAACAUAACAACGUUGACACAUUGUGACAGCUCAAAUUAUGUGGUUGAAGAUGGUGCAGGGCUCCUAACCUUGCUCCUGGAGAGCUACUGUCUUGUAGGUUCACUCCGACCCUGAUCUAGUGCACCUGAUUUUAAUAAUGACCUGCUUAAUAAGUUAGAGGUUAGUUACAACUGAGGUUGGAUUGAAAACCUACAGGAUGACAGCUCUCCAGGAACAGGGUUGGAGUGAAAACCUACAGGAGGGUAGCUCUCCAGGAACAGGGUUGGAGUGAAAACCUACAGGAGGGUAGCUCUCCAGGAACAGGGUUGGAGUGAAAACCUACAGGAGGGUAGCUCUCCAGGAACAGGGUUGGAGAGCCUAGGACUAAUGGAUCUAGUUCUUAGAUCAAUGCAUUUGAAAUUCGAUAAGUCACUACGAAGGUGCAGUUCCCACUUAAUGCAGUGGAUGGGAAGCCUUAUUUCAUGUAGUUCUAAUUAAAUGAUAAUGGCUGAACUUAAUUUGUUAUUAAUGUAGGACAUCAAAUUAUCAGAUUUGGUUGAGUUGGCUGCAAUAUGGCAGCAGUACUUCAGUUAAUAUCAGCAACAGAUAUUGGUUGUGUUUCUAAAAAAAACUAAACCUUAACACCAAGACAAGCAAUAUGGAUUGUAUAAUUUAAUUUUAAUGAUCAUUAAGUGAACAAUAACAGCCAAUAUGGAAAUACAAUGCAUUUGGAAAGUAUUCAGACCCCUUGACUUUUUCCACAUUAGAGCCUUAUUGUAAAAUGUAUUAAAUAAUUAAAUGUAGCGUCAUACCCAAGAAGACUAUGGUGUAAUCACUGCCAAAGUGCUUCAGCAAAGUACUGAGUAAAGGGUCAUAAAUGUCAUAUUUCCUCUUUUUUAUA